rnacentral:rRNA from 1 species
UACAGAGGUCCCGAGCGUUGUUCGGAUUCACUGGGCGUAAAGGGUGCGUAGGUGGCUUGAAAAGUUUGAUGUGAAAGCUCAGGGCUUAACCCUGAAAUGGCAUUGAAUACUGUCGGGCUGGAGGUUUGGAGGGGGGACUGGAAUUCUUGGUGUAGCAGUGAAAUGCGUAGAUAUCAAGAGGAACACCAGUGGCGAAGGCGAGCCCCUGGACAACACCUGACACUGAGGCACGAAAGCUAGGGGAGCAAACAGG